UACGUAGGGUGCAAGCGUUAAUCGGAAUUACUGGGCGUAAAGCGUGCGCAGGCGGCUUUGUAAGACAGAGGUGAAAUCCCCGGGCUCAACCUGGGAACUGCCUUUGUGACUGCAAGGCUUGAGUGCGGCAGAGGGGGAUGGAAUUCCGCGUGUAGCAGUGAAAUGCGUAGAUAUGCGGAGGAACACCGAUGGCGAAGGCAAUCCCCUGGGCCUGCACUGACGCUCAUGCACGAAAGCGUGGGGAGCAAACAGG
rnacentral:rRNA from 1 species